GUAAUCAGAUUUCCCGCUUUGCUCCCGUUGAAAUAAGGCGGAAAAAUAAUCAGAUACUGUAUAUUUAUCCACGAGUAUAUUGCAUUCCUGUAAGAGUGCGCUGGUAUCAAGCAGUCGGAGAAGCAUGAGUCGCUUCACUUCCCGGGAGGGGGCGAAACGUCAAUCUUUAUUCUCAAGCACCGGUAGCCCCCAGCUCACCUACUACUAAACAACCCGGCAGUGCCAGGGAACGGGGUCUGAUUCGGGAGUCCGACCAGCACGGAGACAACAACGAUUUGCAGUGGGCGAGACUUCAAAGCGCCGCUUCAACUCUGUCCACGUGAUGUCCGAGCGGAGUCUCCCCACGUACACUACACGCCUCUCUUCCUGGAUUCCGAGAGAAAGGAGGGUUGUCUUGUCAACACCUCUCUCUUCCUUCACCUAACCCAAAGGCCAUUUUAGGAAGAGUAUGCACACUAAAGUUCAACGCAGAGGGAGCGACAUCUUUACUGCAAGCGAUGAAGC